rnacentral:ncRNA from 1 species
GAUAAAAAGUCAGUGCGGGCUUUCUCGCUUCUCCGGUGAAUCAUGAUAACUCGACGAAUCACAUAACCCUUGUAUUGGAGAUGCUUCAUUCAAAUUUUUUCCCUAUCAACUUUUGAUGGUAGGAUAGAGGCCUACCAUGGUGGUGAAAAGUGACGGAGAAUUAGAGUUCGAUUCUAGAGAGGGAGCCUAAGAAACAACUACCACAUCCAUGGAAGGCAGGAGGUACGCAAAUUACCCAAUCCUGACAUGGGGAGGUAGUGACAAUAAAUAAAAAUACUAGGCUCAUCGACUCUAGUAAUUGGAAUGAGUACAAUCUAAAUCCCUCAAUGAGGAUCCAUUGGAGGGAAAGUUUGGUGCCAGCAGUCGCAGUAAUUCUAGCUCCAAUAACGUAUAGCUAAGUUGUUGCAGUUAAAAAGCUCGUAGUUGGAUCUUGGGUCAUAAAGGUCAGUCUGCCUACUCGGUGUGCACCUUCUCUUCUGUCCCUUUUGUCGAUGACGUGCUCUUGGACUUAAUUGUCUAGGUCACGGUUCCGACGUUGUUACUUUGAAAAAAUUAGAGUGCUCAAAGCAAGCUUAUGCUCUGAAUACAUAAGCAUGGAAUAACGCGAUAGGAGUUUGGUCCUAUUGUGUUGGCCUUAAGGACCAGAGUAAUGAUUAAUAGGGAUUGUCGAGGGCAUUCAUAUUUCAUUGUCAAAAGUGAAAUUCUUAAAUUUAUGAAAGACGAGCCACUGCGAAAGCAUAUGCCAAGGAUGUUUUCAUUAAUCAAGAAUGGAAGUUGGGGACUCGAAGACGAUCAUAUACCAUCCUAGUCUCAACCAUAAAUGGUGUCAACCAGGGAUCAACAGAUGUUUCUCUAAGGACUCUGCCAGCACCUUCUGAGAAAUCAGAGUGUUUGGGUUCCAGGGGGAGUAUGGUCACAAAAUAUGGUUGAAUUCCCAUUUCAAAACCUCGAUAGGCCAACCAAAUUCCAGUAUCAAUG